rnacentral:rRNA from 1 species
UACGUAGGGUGCAAGCGUUAAUCGGAAUUACUGGGCGUAAAGCGUGCGCAGGCGGCUUUGCAAGACAGAUGUGAAAUCCCCGGGCUCAACCUGGGAACUGCAUUUGUGACUGCAAGGCUAGAGUACGGCAGAGGGGGAUGGAAUUCCGCGUGUAGCAGUGAAAUGCGUAGAUAUGCGGAGGAACACCGAUGGCGAAGGCAAUCCCCUGGGCCUGUACUGACGCUCAUGCACGGAAGCGUGGGGAGCAAACAGG